UUUUAAACAGAAGAAGAAGACAGAAAAACAAGUUAACUGAGAGAUCUGUGUAGUCUCCUGCCUGUCCUGCCAUCCCCUCCAGGUGACCGAUCCUUGCUCAUUUGCUCUCACUUCAGCAGUCCUGGGAGGAGCAAUCAGUUCCUGCAGUUUCUCCAAGCAGUUCACCUGACUUCUAGCGGGUUUCUGGGGAGGACCUGGAUCCAGCCUACCUUGAAUAAGAGCUGUGAGGGAGAUGGCUAUGACUUUUCUGGUUCCACCUAUCGUGGGAAUUCACCCUGGCUCCAUGAAUGUGUGACUAAUUUCCUGGACAGGAGUUGCACUCAGUGCUCCUUAUGGGCCCUUUCCAACUCUGGAUCUGGAAUUGGAUUGCUGUGGAUCAUCUGUUCUCCCACUCUAAAUGGUUUGGUUUAUUACAGAUUCAAAAGCUCUGUAUGGUGCAGCUUUUUGGAGCAUAUGAUUAUAAAGCUGUAUUCUGCAUACAUUCAGGAUAAGAUACACUGCAGCACUGAGAGAUGUGGGCUUUGUUCC
rnacentral:lncRNA from 1 species